rnacentral:rRNA from 1 species
GACGAACGCUGGCGGCGUGCCUAAUACAUGCAAGUAGAACGCUGAAGCGAGGAGCUUGCUCUUCUUGGAUGAGUUGCGAACGGGUGAGUAACGCGUAGGUAACCUGCCUUGUAGCGGGGGAUAACUAUUGGAAACGAUAGCUAAUACCGCAUAACAAUGGAUGACACAUGUCAUUUAUUUGAAAGGGGCAAUUGCUCCACUACAAGAUGGACCUGCGUUGUAUUAGCUAGUAGGUGAGGUAACGGCUCACCUAGGCGACGAUACAUAGCCGACCUGAGAGGGUGAGCGGCCACACUGGGACUGAGACACGGCCCAGACUCCUACGGGAGGCAGCAGUAGGGAAUCUUCGGCAAUGGGGGCAACCCUGACCGAGCAACGCCGCGUGAGUGAAGAAGGUUUUCGGAUCGUAAAGCUCUGUUGUAAGUCAAGAACGAGUGUGAGAGUGGAAAGUUCACACUGUGACGGUAGCUUACCAGAAAGGGACGGCUAACUACGUG